AGGGUUUGAUCAUGGCUCAGAUUGAACGCUGGCGGCAUGCCUAACACAUGCAAGUCGAACGGAAACGAUGCUAGCUUGCUAGCAGGCGUCGAGUGGCGGACGGGUGAGUAAUGCAUAGGAAUCUACCUAAUAGUGGGGGACAACCUGGUGAAAACCAGGCUAAUACCGCAUAAUCCCUACGGGGCAAAGCAGGGGACCUUCGGGCCUUGCGCUAAUAGAUGAGCCUAUGUCGGAUUAGCUAGUUGGUGAGGUAAUGGCUCACCAAGGCGACGAUCCGUAGCCGGUUUGAGAGGAUGAUCAGCCACACUGGGACUGAGACACGGCCCAGACUCCUACGGGAGGCAGCAGUGGGGAAUAUUGCACAAUGGGCGCAAGCCUGAUGCAGCAAUGCCGCGUGUGUGAAGAAGGCCUUAGGGUUGUAAAGCACUUUCAGUAGGGAGGAAAAGUAAGUAG
rnacentral:rRNA from 1 species